UACGUAGGGGGCGAGCGUUGUCCGGAUUUAUUGGGCGUAAAAGGCUUGUAGGUGGCCACGUCAAGUCGGAUGUGAAAUCUCCCGGCUCAACUGGGAGGGGUCAUUCGAUACUGGCGGGCUCGAGGCCGGUAGGGGGAAGCGGAAGUUCCUGGUGUAGCGGUGAAAUGCGCAGAUAUCGGGAGGAACACCAAUGGCGAAGGCAGCUCGCUGGGACGGUACUGACGCUGAGACGCGAAAGCGUGGGGAGCGAACGAGG
rnacentral:rRNA from 1 species